CAUAGUUAUGCAUAACGCGACCAAGCGCCAAAUUCGAAUUUUGGGUAUUAUUGCACCAUCUAACGGCCAAAGACUGUAUUUAUCUACAAAAAAAUUCUUGAACGCUACAAAUUUAUAGUAAGGACAUAAUUUUAAGUUUAAUUAAGGACAUAAUUAACGUCUGUUAGUGCACAUGCAAUUUUAAAUUACACUAGAGAACGCCGCAUUUUUAUCACACGCAUGCAUAAAACCGGCCUAAGAUUUUCCGUUUUUUGAGCGAUAUGUACAGGUUAUGUUUAUUUGUUACAUUUGUGUAUGAAUAAUAAUCGUUAAUAUUGAUUGAAAUAAAAUAAAAAAUAAAAGUGAUGAAUCGGACUGCUAUUAUACUGAAACGUGCAUAUGAAAUAAACUUAGAGGUAAGUUUUCUAUAAUAUAAUAUAGCUCUUUAAAUUUUACACCUAAUAUUUUUGUUGAUCAAGAAGACGUAGCUAGUUCAUCCGCGAUGGAUUUGAAUAAUUCUUUAGAGAAUCACAGUGCAAAUGAUUUAUAUCAGGUAAAUCCUGGUUUUAUUGAAGUGGAGCAUGAUCAGUUACUACCAUCUCAGCCAGUUUGCCUUCACACUCAUUAGUAGUAGCAAGCAAUGACGACCAGGAAGACGUCCAAAGUAUCAAUUCGCCAAAAAAUUUUACCGAACUCCUGCCUGCGAAAUUCCCAGAAAAACUCCCAGAAUAUGAUGAUAGUAAUAAUGCUGUGGAAACGAGUGUUAAACAAGAUGAGAGAUUCAUUUUAAAAACUUUGGAUGCAGAGCAAGGAGUUUCACUAGAAGAACACAUUGAAAUGGAAGAUGAAAUAUUGGAAAAGAAAUUCAAGAUCAACAACUUUAAGAUGAACAACUACUCAACAACUAAUACAGAGGGCUCUAAUUUCUGUUAUGCUAUGGAAAAUCCAAUAAAAAGAAAAAGGGUUAAAAACUCAAAUAAAUGUUUUUCCUUCAAACUUUGAGAAUUUCUAGUGCUAAGGUUAAUACUUGUCUAAAAUUAAAAAACAGAGUUGAAGGAGUAAAAGAUAUGAGAGAAGUUGUUAGCGGCGGGAAAAACAAAGUAUCAGAAGAUAGAGUCCUAGAAGUAAUCCGACACAUUGAUCAAUUUCCAAAAUACAAGUCACAUUAUUCUAGGGAACAAACAAGCUGCAUGUAUCUACGAUCGGAUACUACAUUAAACGUUAUGUACAAUCUGUAUCAGAGAGCCCAAUCUCAUUUUCAAAAUAUAAAGAGAUUUUUUUGAGUAAUUUUAAUCUUAAGAGAAAGCCACUAAAAAAAGACACUUGCAAUACUUGCCACAAACUGAAAGUUUUGAAAAAUACGACAAAUCUUGAAGAGCAAAAUAGGUAUAAGAUGGAAAAACAAAAUCAUUUAACUUUAGCUAGUGAGACGAGAAAUGCAAUGAACGCAGACAGAAAAAGGGCCGAGGAAGACGAACACCUUGAAGUACUCACCUUUGAUAUGGAAAAAACAUUGCUUCUUCCUUGUAUACCGACAAGUGUUGUCUUUUAUAAAAGACAGCUCUGGUAAUAUAAUUUGGUUAUCCACACAGGAAAAAAUAAUAAUAAAGGGCAUUGUUAUUUAUGGCUGGAAGGUAUGGCAGGUAGAGGGGCUCAGGAAGUGGGUUCCUGUUUACUUCGGCAUGUAAGAGAAAAUGCUGAUAUGGCUGCUUGUAAACAUCUGAUUUUAUGGUCAGAUAGCUGCGGUGGCCAAAAUCGCAACAUCAAAAUGGUUUUAUUCCUUAUGACAAUGUUUGAAGUUAAUCUUUCAUUAGAAAAGAUAACGUUGCGUUUUUUAACAUCUGGUCAUAAUUAUCUACCUAAUGACACAGAUUUUGGAGAUAUCGAAUGCGCAUUAAAACUACAACAAAGAUUGUAUACAGCUGAUGACUAUAUAAUGAUCAUGCCGCAAGAAAAAUCCACUUGUUGUCCAUAAAAUAGAAAAAGAACAUUUUUUUUCUACUACUAAAAUCGAAAAAAAUAUUGUUAAUCGAAAAGUAGAUGUGGCAAACAAUUAAAUAAAUUGACUUCAAUUUAAAGAAAUCGAAAUUCGAAAAGACAGUCCCUUCAGAAUAUUUGUUAAAACUUCUUUUAAGGAUGAAAUUCACCAGGAAAUUAAUAUAAAAAAAAGCGUGGAAGACCACAAAAUAAGGAAACUUUAAAAACCAACUUUAAAAAUCUACUUGAA